rnacentral:rRNA from 1 species
UACGAGGGGGGCGAGCGUUGUUCGGAAUUAUUGGGCGUAAAGGGCGCGUAGGCGGUGCGGUAAGUCACCUGUGAAACCUCUGGGCUUAACUCAGAGCCUGCAGGCGAAACUGCCGUGCUGGAGUGUGGGAGAGGUGCGUGGAAUACCCAGUGUAGAGGUGAAAUUCGUAGAUAUUGGGUGGAACACCGGUGGCGAAAGCGGCUCUCUGGUCCGGACCUGACGCUGAGGCGCGAAAGCGUGGGGAGCAAACAGG